UGGGGAAUAUUGGACAAUGGGGGGAACCCUGAUCCAGCGACGCCGCGUGAGUGAAGAAGUAUUUCGGUAUGUAAAGCUCUAUCAGCAGGGAAGAAGGAAAGACGGUACCUGACUAAGAAGCCCCGGCUAACUACGUGCCAGCAGCCGCGGUAAUACGUAGGGGGCAAGCGUUAUCCGGAUUUACUGGGUGUAAAGGGAGCGUAGGCGGUAAUGCAAGUCUGGAGUGAAAUGCCGGGGCCCAACCCCGGAACUGCUCUGGAAACUGUGAUACUGGAGUGCAGGAGAGGUAAGCGGAAUUCCUGGUGUAGCGGUGAAAUGCGUAGAUAUCAGGAGGAACACCGGUGGCGAAGGCGGCUUACUGGACUGUAACUGACGUUGAGGCUCGAAAGCGUGGGGAGCAAACAGG
rnacentral:rRNA from 1 species